AUAUCCUCUAAGUAUUCUCUCAUCAGGUAUACAUAUCUAUUCCUAUCAGCUUAAUAUCUGCUACGUUUUGCAUCGCAGGACUAGAAUAUUAAACUGAUUUCUGGCUUAUGACGCGAUAGUAAGAGCAUGCGCUUCUUCUGUCAUAGGAUAGCUCCUCACGAUUGCACUCUCUUAAGAUAGCCAAAUGUCU